rnacentral:misc_RNA from 1 species
GAUGAAGAACGUAGCGAAAUGCGAUAAGUAAUGUGAAUUGCAGAAUUCAGUGAAUCAUCGAAUCUUUGAACGCACAUUGCGCCCGCCAGUAUUCUGGCGGGCAUGCCUGUUCGAGCGUCAUUUCAACCCUCAAGCACAGCUUGGUGUUGGGACUCGCGUUAAUUCGCGUUCCCCAGAUUGAUUGGCGGUCACGUCGAGCUUCCAUAGCGUAGUAGUAAAACCCUCGUUACUGGUAAUCGUCGCGGCCACGCCGUUAAACCCCAACUUCUGAAUGUUGACCUCGGAUCAGGUAGGAAUACCCGCUGAACUUAAGCAUAUCAAUAAGCGGAGGA